rnacentral:pre_miRNA from 1 species
GUUUAGGGGUGGAUCUGACGUCCCUGAGUGUAUGUGGUGAACCUGAAUUUGCCUUGGGUUUCCUCAUAUUCAUUCAGGAGUGUCGGUUCCCCCUUCACU